AUGCUUUUCCUAAAGAUUAAGCCAUGCAUGCCUAAGGCUAUGAGGAAGCAAUUCUCUCUGAAUCUGCGAACGGCUCCGCAAACCAGUUGUAAACCAAAGCAAGCUUGCUCGGGUUGGGCUUCGGCCUGGCCUGGGUGAUACGGAUAACCCUGGUAAUUCUGAGGCUAAUACGUGUAUGGAACACCCGGUGGACCGGCCUCACGGCUGGGAUAUCGGGAGACGAGUGAUGGAAUGUUUGGAUUACCAGGAACGGGCA
rnacentral:rRNA from 1 species